AGCGAGGCUAGAGUCACGCCUCGACAUUGCUCGUUGUCCAGGUGUGCUAGAGUGCUCGCAGAGGAAAAGUCUUUGCAUAUUCAUUGGCUGUCUUCUCCAGUGGCUCAGCCAAUCACCAGCUUAGAUACAUGA